rnacentral:lncRNA from 1 species
GAUAUGUUUUCUCAUGAUACUCCAGUCCUCUUGAGAAAGAAGCACAUAGAAGCAUCAUUCCAAAAAGUGAUAUUGGAUGGAUAUGGGAGCUAUGGCUCUCAGAAUUUACACUUAAGGAAAGAGUGGGAAAGUGAGGGUAAGUGUGACAGUCACAACGGAUGUUGUGAUGGACAUACAAAAUGUAGCACAACUACCUAUAACAAAAACAUCACUGCUACAAGAGGUCAAAAACAUGAAAAAACUCAAUCUAUGUCAGUUACUUUUUCUAAUCCAUGUGUUUCUGUAACUAAAUAUCGACAUCAAUUUUGAAACAUACCUUUUCUUUGAAAGGAAAUUUGGAAAAUCUGAAUAGUGACUUAGUCCAUGUUUCAAAUAAUCAUAUAAGCCAAUUAAAACAUAGAACUGGAGUAAAUGUUCAGUCAAAUAUUUCUGAAAAGGAGAGAUUUAAAAAUGAAGAGGUGAUUUCUAAAUAUGAUCAAUUUGAUGGGUCCUUUGUUAAAAGUUUGUUUCACCAACAAAUAACACCUCGUUCUGCUUGUGAUCAAUAUAGAAAGGUCUUCAUUCAUUCAUCAUUGAUUAAUCAAUGUCAGGGAAUAGAUAAUUUGGGAAAACAUCACACAUAUGAUAAAAUUUUGACAGCCUUUAGGCAGGACUAUACCCUAAAUAAUUAGCAGUAUAUUUGUGUUGCAGAGAAAAAUCAGUACAAUAAAUCUGAUACAACAUUAAGACAAGGCAUAAGCCCCAGAAGACAUCAGAAAACUCAUUUUCUACAGAAACAUUACAAAUGUAAAAAAUGUGAGAAAGUCUCACAUAAAUGCACCAACCAUGUCCAUCAGAGUAUCCAUAGUCAAGAGAAGGCUGCCAAAUGUAACAAUUGUGUAGAAACUUUUAUCCAGUCAUCAAAACAUACUCAGCCUCAGAGAAUCCAUAUUGGAGAAAAGUCACACAGAUGUAAUAACGGUGAGAAAAUCCUUAGUAAAUUGUCAAGUCUAAGAAAACAUAAAAUAAUCCAUAAUGAAGAGAAACCUUACAAAUGUAAAGAAUAUGAAAAAGCCUUUAACCAUCGUUCACACCUUACUCAACAUCAAAUAAUUCAUACUGGAGAGAAACCAUACAAAUGUAAAGAAUGUGGCAAAGCCUUCAAUUCUAGUUCAUAUUUUACUAGACAUCAGAGAAUUCACACUGGAGAAAAACUUUACAAAUGUAAAGUGGGUAGCAAAUGUUUUACUUAUUCUUCAAAUCUUCUUGUGCAUCAGAGAAUUCAUACUGGAGAGAAACCUUACAAAUGUAAAGAAUGUGGUAAAUCAUUUAAAAUGUCUUCAGCCCUUACUCAGCACGAGAGAAUUCAUGCUGGAGAGAAACCCUACAAAUGUAAGGAAUGCAGCAAAGCCUUUAACUGUAGGUCAUACCUAACUAAACAUCGGAGAAUUCAUACCGGAGAAAAACUUUACAAAUGUAAAUCACAUAGCAAAUCUUUUUCUCAUUCCUCAAGUCUUAUUGUCCACCAGAGAAUUCAUACUGGAGAAAAACCCUAUAAAUGCAAAGAAUGUGGCAAAGCCUUUUAUCGUAAUUCACGCCUUACUCGACAUCGAAGUAGUCAUACCGGAGAGAAACCCUACAAACGUAAGGAAUGCAGCAAAGCCUUUAACUGUAGGUCAUACCUAACUAAACAUCAGAGAAUUCAUACUAGAGAAAAACUUUACAAAUGUAAAUCAUGUGGUAAAUCUUUUUCCUGUUCCUCAAGUCUUUUUGUCCACCAGAGAAUUCAUACUGGAGAAAAACCCUAUAAAUGCAAAGAAUGUGGCAAAGCCUUUAUUUAUAGUUCAUGCCUUACUCGACAUUGAAUAAUUCAUACUGGAGAGAAACCCUACAAAUGUAAAGAAUGUGGCAAGUUAUUUAAUCGAUGCUCGACCCUUUCUCAACGUAAGAGAAUUCAUAC